UGGGAAGUAUUGACAAUGGGCGAAAGCCUGAUCCAGCCAUGCCGCGUGUGUGAAGAAGGCCUUUUGGUUGUAAAGCACUUUAAGCGAGGAGGAGGCUACUUGGAUUAAUACUCUAGGAUAGUGGACGUUACUCGCAGAAUAAGCACCGGCUAACUCUGUGCCAGCAGCCGCGGUAAUACAGAGGGUGCGAGCGUUAAUCGGAUUUACUGGGCGUAAAGCGUGCGUAGGCGGCUUUUAAGUCGGAUGUGAAAUCCCUGAGCUUAACUUAGGAAUUGCAUUCGAUACUGGGAAGCUAGAGUAUGGGAGAGGAUGGUAGAAUUCCAGGUGUAGCGGUGAAAUUGCGUAGAGAUCUUGGAGGAAUACCGAUGGCGAAGGCAGCCAUCUGGCCUAAUACUGACGCUGAGGUACGAAAGCAUGGGGAGCAAA
rnacentral:rRNA from 1 species